GAUGAACGCUAGCGGCAGGCCUAACACAUGCAAGUCGAGGGGUAGAGUGCUUCGGCACUUGAGACCGGCGUACGGGUGCGUAACGCGUGUACAAUCUACCUUUUGCUAAGGGAUAGCCCGAAGAAAUUUGGAUUAAUACCUUAUAGUAUUAUUUGGUGGCAUCAUUAGAUAAUUAAAGCUACGGUGGCAAAAGAUGAGUACGCGUCCCAUUAGCUAGUUGGAGUGGUAACGGCACACCAAGGCUACGAUGGGUAGGGGUUCUGAGAGGGAUGUCCCCCACACUGGUACUGAGACACGGACCAGACUCCUACGGGAGGCAGCAGUGAGGAAUAUUGGACAAUGGUCGGAAGACUGAUCCAGCCAUGCCGCGUGCAGGAUGACGGCCUUAUGGGUUGUAAACUGCUUUUGUAUGGGAAGAAUAAGGUCUACGUGUAGAUUGAUGACGGUACCAUACGAAUAAGCAUCGGCUAACUCCGUGCCAGCAGCCGCGGUAAUACGGAGGAUGCGAGCGUUAUCCGGAAUCAUUGGGUUUAAAGGGUCCGUAGGCGGGCUUAUAAGUCAGAGGUGAAAGCACUGAGCUCAACUGAGUAACUGCCUUUGAAACUGUAGGUCUUGAAUGUUUGUGAAGUAGCUGGAAUGUGUAGUGUAGCGGUGAAAUGCAUAGAUAUUACACAGAACACCGAUUGCGAAGGCAUGUUACUAACAAAUUAUUGACGCUGAUGGACGAAAGCGUGGGGAGCGAACAGGAUUAGAUACCCUGGUAGUCCACGCUGUAAACGAUGGAUACUAGCUGUUUGGUAGUAAUAUUGAGUGGCUAAGCGAAAGUGAUAAGUAUCCCACCUGGGGAGUACGCACGCAAGUGUGAAACUCAAAGGAAUUGACGGGGGCCCGCACAAGCGGUGGAGCAUGUGGUUUAAUUCGAUGAUACGCGAGGAACCUUACCAAGGUUUAAAUGGGAAACGACGUAUCUAGAGAUAGAUAUUUCUUCGGACGUUUUUCAAGGUGCUGCAUGGUUGUCGUCAGCUCGUGCCGUGAGGUGUCAGGUUAAGUCCUAUAACGAGCGCAACCCCUGCUGUUAGUUGCUAGCGAGUCAAGUCGAGCACUCUAACGGGACUGCCGGUGCAAACCGUGAGGAAGGUGGGGAUGACGUCAAAUCAUCACGGCCCUUACA
rnacentral:rRNA from 1 species